CUUGGAGUCGACACACGGCAGCGGUUCAGUAGACUGAAGCAGGCGUUGCUACUGCGGUGCCACGAGGAGGAUCUCGGCUUUGCUGAAAUUAUGUGCCUAGUUUGGUGGUUGGAGCUGACGAUUUCACCAAUGAUGGGUCAUUGUAGCAGGUGGUCCUCCACCUUUGGUGAAAGUAUCCAUUUACUGGACCAAUGUGACUUGCAGUCAAAAGACCAAGUGAAGAUGCGUAAAACAUUCCUACUGGAAAAUUCCCAUCUCUAUGUUGGUAAGUAUCUCUCAGAUGGUAUUCUGCAGCUAAUGUCAUUCAGAUGUGAUGACUAA
ensembl:lncRNA